UUUAUUAUAAUCAAAAUUUUUAUUUAAACGUUAUACAUUAUUUACAAUAUGUAGCAUAAUAUAUAGUACAAGAUAACGUACUAGUUAUACUACGAAAUAUUAAUUUAUAUAUAAUUAAAUAUAUAUAAUUAGUGUUAUAUAAUUAAUUAGUGAAAUAUAAUUUCGAUUUAUAAAAAAAUGUUUUAUUUGAAAUAAAAAAAUAUUAAUUGUUUAUGUAAAUAAAAAUUUCAUAUAUAAUUUUUUCAAAAUAUUAUUAAGUAUUAUAAAAAUCUUGGAAUCUACGGAAAAUUGAGUACUUU